rnacentral:lncRNA from 1 species
CACGGCUGCUCACAAACACAAAUGUUACCUUCUGACACAGGACUCCAAAGAUUUGACAAAACUUCAACCUGCAGUCAACAGAGUGGAUGAGGUUCAAACCUAUAGCCUACAGUCUCAAGCAGGCAACUAUGAGUGCAGUGUGUCUGCCCUGCGCUGGGUUUGUAAGGAAGAAGUCAGCUUCAAAUACAAGUUUAGCUCAUGGGAUGAACACAUGAAGAGGCCUAUCUGUACGGAUUACAUGCCAGCAGGACCCCUAAUGGACAUCACCGUCACAGCUGGGAAGAUGGAGGAGGUGCAUCUGCCGCACUGGAUCUGUGUAGAUCAAAACUCUACAGUUUUAGACAAGUUUGCGGUUCUACAUGCGGAUACCUUUGAUGUUCUGGAGAAGGUACCUGAAGUGAAGUCGUCCCACAUCAAGUUUCUCCAGCCCACUUUCCCUCGGAUGGGGGUCCUGAUCCGGAAGGAACUGGGCCUCCCGUUCUACUAUGACGUGUUGAUAUACAAGACAAACAAAGAGUUCCUCACAUUGGAUGUUUACCUGGUGCCACGGGAUUCUGCUCUACAACAGGAUGUGGAACAAAAGCAAAAGUCUUGUGGAUCAAUAUUAAUCCUAAAACCAGGCCCAGACAAGUCCGUGCAAUUGGGAGAUCAUUUCUCCCUCACAACAGACAAGACGGAUGCAAACAUUCAACCCAGCACACGAGAGCUCAGAUGUGAUGGUAGAAAUUACUUUGAGGUGUUCAUCAGAGAUGCAGACAGCGACUUCACCCUCAGGCUUCAAAGUGAGCAGAACACUGUCUGGACCUGUACCAUUCAUAAAGGUUAGUGGUUUUUAAAACAUUUUAAACGUAUUGAUUUGCAGCCCCUUUAAUCUGUUUAGCUAAAUAUGCACAACCUAAUGCCA